UACAACCAACAUUUUAGGUACUCAAGGAGAAAGCUUUGAUUGAAUGUGAUGUGAUGCUUGAAGCGUGUACGAACGGGGAAAAAUUGGGUUUUGUAGUUUGAGAAUUUUAUGUAAUAAAUAGUUCUUUGUUGUAUUUUCUUCCGCUGAAAAUUUUCAAACAAUAAUUCAUUUUAUUAAGUUUAUAUUUCUCUGAAUUUCACUUCAAUUAUCUUUGUAACCAUUUUAUUUAAAAAUAAAAAUAGCAGCAUAUUUUCUAACUAAAUAACAUUUUUAAGAAGUAUCUUGGAUGAAAAUCCGGGAUGUUACAUUUGGUAUCAGAGCAAUAAUCCUC
rnacentral:lncRNA from 1 species